GUGCCUCUGAAGUACAGUCUGGGGACAAUAGGAUUGUCUGGUAUUCAUCGUGAAUUCAGAGACUGUGGUACAGGUUGUCAGAGCUGCAGGAAGCAGAGAAGGGUGGCUUGGAAGAAUUAGGAAGGUUUCUCUAAGGAGGGCAUUGAUGGGAGGAUUUGGCUGAGAAAGGGUAGGUUUCAAUGACAGGGUGUUUUGUGGGGAACACUACCCCAGGUGAAAGAAGGAAUAGACCAGGAAUCACUUUUCUUGGUCACUCAUAUGCCUCCCAUGAUAUGUCAGUCGCUGUGUUCAGUGCCAAGGACACAAGAUGAAUAUGGCAAUUCAGUAUCAUAGCUAACACCAGGGGCACUGAGUCAGACAUACUUGGGGAUAAUAAUAGCACCUCAUCAUGGGGCCAUUGUGAGGAUUAAAUGAACUGCCUGAAAAAGAAGUCAGCCCCUGGUGCACAUGCCCAGUCUGAAAAGGACACAUGAGUGAGUUGAGAAGAGGCUUAAAGGACUGUGACCAGAACAGGGAGGGAGUCAUGACCUGAGCCAGGAGGAGUGAUUGCUGGAAUUGGAGGUGAUCACCCUGAAGAGGAGGGGCCGAGGGGCAGGCAUGCCAGCUGCCUUCAGAUAUCAGAGAGGAACCUGAAACAUUGGUCAAACUAGGGGCUCCCACAUCCCCUUCUGAUACAUAGAAACAUCUUGAACAUCCUGGGGAUUCUGGUACUUGUCCAUUGAGAGGGCAGAUAUGGAGCUGCCCUCUGGGUAUCCCAUCAGCCAAGGUUUCAUUAAGCUCUAAUUUGCACCAUGGAAAAUAGGAUUUGUUUUUCAUUUUUCAUCUUUAAAUAGCAUGACUUAAAUUGUGUGCUUGCAAACCGUUUUUACCUCUCACACAAUCUCCACUCUGGAGAUCCACACACCUGACUUCCUUCCCUUCCCUGUAAGUUUUGUUGUUUUAAGCAUGUAGCUCUACAAAGGAGAAUUCAGCCAGUGGGGAUGAGUUACAGGGAGCUGGGUUUCAGCAUAGAAAGGACUAUAUUCUCCAAGUUAGAGACAUCCAGCAUGGAAUGGAUUGAUUAAGACAAUGUGUAAGGAGGGGCCAAGUGACCUAUUUGUGACCAGGGCAUCGAUUGGAGGUUGUCAUUUCCAAUUCUGAUUUUGUGCUUUAAGAACUGAGAUGUAUGAUGCAAAAACUCCAGGGCUCUGGCUGAACAGCCCCACCUUUGUGGGUUCAACAUUUCAGGACUUUAAAGAUUGUCUUCCAUACUUUCAAAGAGGACCCACUCACCUCCAAUUCCUUGAGAUCCCUAAUUCUUUCUUCUGUCCCAUUUGGGGACUUGAACCCAACUUAACUGAGGACUGGAAGGCCCCAGGACAGAGACACCAGAGGUGUGGAGUCUCCAAAUGCGCAGGUGGACAAGGUGACAGUGCUCUACAAGGGGUGCCAUGCAAAAGCGUACAGGGAGUUCUGCCUGUCACUUUGGACUUCCUAGGCCAUUCGUCAAUGCCUGUGGGGGCUCAGUGCCCUACCAUGAAAAAUCAGCUGGCCCUGUGAUCACUUCCCAGCUGCCAUCCUGAAACGUUUCAAUUCAUUCCUCCAGCCUUACUUUGCUCCCACAGGCCAACUUCAGUGCCUUCAGUUGCACCAGGAGGGUGUUGCUAUUUUUAUUUUGUGAUCCCUCCCUUUCCAAAUGAAACAAAAGAUUUCAUGUAAGGCAUCCAGAUUUCCAGUUUCUCUAGGGAAUUUGGCUCUGCACCCCAACGGGGCUCAGGUCACCUCCCGUGCUGCUUCCUCUCUGUCACCAGCUGUCCCCUUGUCUCAGUUGGGCACCUCCCCAAGGCAGAUGCCGACACCAGGAUUGGAGAGCAAGUAGUGAUGUGGGAGGUGCGGAGGGUGAUGACGUGGGACAGGGUGGGGAAGAAAGCCAGUGAGGUUACUGCUGUGGGAAACUAGGGUGUAAUCCUGCCAGGGUCACUGGGUGAGCGUAGACUGUGGCUCACUUUCCCUCCUGAGAGAAGAGGGAACUUGGGUAUUUGUACACCAGCUCCUGUCAGUCACAGGUGGAAGCUGCUCCAGCAGAGAGUGGUGGCCACAGAAAGCCCCAUGGCAGCGAGGGGCAGGUGGCAGUGGGAAGGCCAGAGUGCCCUCAGAGGGCAAGGCCUGCCCCAGCGGAGGGACACCGGGGGCUUCUGCUAAGCCUCUGUAAGAUGUUUGACUUUGCUGCUCUGCUUUAAGCUGUUCCAUGCAACCAUUACAAAACAGGAAAUCAGUUGUCAUUUCAGACCUUGUCUGACCCACUGCCUUCACAGUGUUGGGUCUGCAUGAUGGACCUGGGGAGGUGUAGAUCUCAGGCAAGUUGCUCAUUGUACCAAAGAGGAAAGUCACCCACUUGGCACAGCUUUGUCCUUCCAAAUCCCCGGGGUAGGGCUGACCUUCCGGAUGGCAGACAGCACUAGCAUUGGGGUCCUCACUUUCCUCCCUGCCAUCCGGCCAGGCUGGCCUUUUCUUUCUGGAAUAUUUAUAUUCCUCAUGUCCUCUGCUCUCUUUUUCAUGCCAAGAUUAACCAGCCAACUGGUUUUGAUGGCGAGUUAUGGGGGGGUUAAUUGGAGGGGAGGGAUUAACAGACCUUUGCUAAGUCAAGUCUCCAGAUCUGUGUCAUUACAAAUGAUGCCUUUUAAAGUCUUUCCACCUUUGCUGGCAUCCCUUUGCUGAGCAAAGGAAGAACAGCUGAUUCCAUACAAGGGGUCUCAGUCUGCCCUUGUGACCACAACAUUUCCUGGAACCAAAGGGCUGGUAACAUGUCCAAACGAGAAGGGUGAGCUCUCUGCCAGGCCCUCCCAGAGAGGAGUUAAUCUUCACAAUAGGCAUGCUUUAUUCUGAGAAUCUGUCUUGCAAACCCUGCAUUGAGGCUGUUGUUUUCAGAUUAGAGAGCAUGUUGACAGCCUCUCUUCCAAAGAAUCUAUGGCUUGGGGCUUUUAACUUUGGGAUCCAUGUCCCCCAACCACUCUGGGAUUCAUUUUUCCAGAGGUACCAGCCAAGGGCUCCCCCAACCCCUACCCCCAAGUCUUUGCACACCAGGGCCUGGGGUUAGGACUGGCUGUAGCCACUUUUGAGUCAAGAGAACUUCUGGCCCUUUGCUGUCUUGUUCCCUUUUCUCAGACGCUGUAAACGGAAGUAUCCAAGGGUUUUUGCCUUCUGAAGUGUGCAUUACACUGAGAUGGGAUGGGUGGGGGGAAUAGGGCAAGUACACAAGAACAUGGAGCCAAGUGUCUGGGCAUUGAAACAUAUUGCUUAGAUCACAAGGCCCUACCGUUUACCAGCUAUGCUUUCUUGGGCAAGCCAUUUAACCUCACUGUGUCCCUAUUUCCUUGUCUAAAAAAUGGAAAUAAUGGUAGUACUUACCUCAAAGGUCUAUCAAAAUGAUAAAAUGAGGUGAUGUAGGAAAAGCUCCUUGCCUGCACACAGUAAGAUCUUGAUAAACAGGAGCUGUUUUCGCCUUUCUUCACCAUUAUCAUUGUAAUUGUUGAUAUUAUCUGAGCUUCCAGAAAUACCAAAUCUCAGCUAUGGGCUUUCAUAAGAGGACUGGGCCACCUCCAUUGGGAAGGAACAAAGGUAGCUUCUUAAGUGAUGAAGAUUUGGUGAUGUGCCCUAAAGAAUGGGAGGAAUUUGGACAGGUGGCAAUGUCAUGUGGGGAGACAGCAAGUCAGAGAAGAGGAGAGGAGAACAUUCCAGGUGGCGGAAGUCAAGUGUGGUGUGAAAGGAGAGAUGCCCGUGUGUGCUCGGGGAUUAGCCAGGGACAUGGUAAGGCUGGAGUGGGUAUAAGAGAUGCAGACAGGGGGAAGUAAGAUGGAAGAGGCAGGCUGGGCCUUGCCUAAAGGGCAGGUUCUGGGGUGGUGGGCCCUGCACAUGGUUUUAAACCAGGAGACCUGUUUGAUCAGAGUAUGGACUAUGAGUGCUCAAGAACAAGUCUGCUCUCAGGGACAGGCCAGACUCCUCAGACGGGGAAUUUUGCUUUGGUCCUAACAAAAUGGCCAGCAUGACCACGUGCUUGGAUGUUCCAUUUGUCCAAUUACAUCCUUUGCUUCGGCAGCAAAGCUGAGGCUCUGUGUGAGGUACCCAGAGUGGGAGACAUGGGACAUUUUAUUGGAUGGUAUUGAAUUUGUUCAGACACUUGCAAUUCCCCUGGAAGGGGCCAUGGAUAUGGAGUUAAUUUACCCUCCGACCUGAAGCCACAAAGUUGAUAAUCACCUGCCACAGUCUAUGGGGGAGAUGAACUUCAUUGCGGGGCUGUUCAAUAAAUCUGCUAUUAGCAGGGAAAGUGCUUACAUGCACUUAAAAAAAAUUAAACAACAAAAUAAGAGCUGUUGAUUGACACAGCAUCAAUAAAGCCAUGCGUGUGCACUGUUGACCUUCCCCCACCCCCAGCUGCCAAUCUGUGUUUAUUAGAAAUCAGUUCCUAUAAAUAGCUUAUGGCAGAGAAAACAGUGAGCUGCUCCUCAAAUGUGUGACUGUGACAUGCUAACUUCCAUACAUGGCUCUUGGUUGGAUUUAGUUAAUCAUUUGCUGUAGCUGACUUGUGGAGCAUCAGUUGUGAGGGGUUGCUGUGGGGAGGUGGUUAAUAAUUUUACCACUGCACCUUUGAAGCAGAAUUGCUAGUUCCCCCCAGUCUGUUCUUCUGUGUUGCUGACUAGCUGAACCCCAAUUUGUUUUCAGGGGAGCAGUGUGCUUUGCUAAAAAAAGAAAAAAGCUUUCCCCUGCCUCUCUGAAGCUGGGAUUGAGCACACAGUACUGGCCAAUGAGACACAGCUGAGAGGUUCUGGCAAAAUUUUUGCUGACCUGAUAGAUGCGCUACCUCUUUUUCACUGUUCUCGCUCCUUUAAGCCAUUUUGUCCAACGAAAAAGGAAACUGGCCUCUCAUUCCAGUCCUUGUCUGACUCAGUGUCUUUCCAGUGUUGGGUUGGCAUGAUGGCACAUGUCGUGGGCUUGGGGAUCCAGUUUACCUCUUUCUCCUUUCUAUUUUCCUCCUGCUUGGAAAGUGGAUGAAAGUCUGGAAGUACAGCAACCAUAUUGUGAUUAUGAAGUUACCACCUUGAGAUUGAGGACCAUGGUGUUAAGGAUGGUGGAGCAGAAAGAUGGAUAUGGUUCAAGUUCCUGACGUUGUUGAGUUACUUACAGAUCCAGGCUUCCUAUUCAUAAACCUU